GACGAACGCUGGCGGCGUGCUCAACACAUGCAAGUCGAACGGAAAGGCCCUGCUUUUGUGGGGUGCUCGAGUGGCGAACGGGUGAGUAACACGUGAGUAACCUGCCCUUGACUUUGGGAUAACUUCAGGAAACUGGGGCUAAUACCGGAUAGGAGCUCCUGCUGCAUGGUGGGGGUUGGAAAGUUUCGGCGGUUGGGGAUGGACUCGCGGCUUAUCAGCUUGUUGGUGGGGUAGUGGCUUACCAAGGCUUUGACGGGUAGCCGGCCUGAGAGGGUGACCGGCCACAUUGGGGCUGAGAUACGGCCCAGACUCCUACGGGAGGCAGCAGUGGGGAAUAUUGCACAAUGGGCGGAAGCCUGAUGCAGCAACGCCGCGUGCGGGAUGACGGCCUUCGGGUUGUAAACCGCUUUCGCCUGUGACGAAGCGUGAGUGACGGUAAUGGGUAAAGAAGCACCGGCUAACUACGUG
rnacentral:rRNA from 1 species